UAUCUCUGUAGAGUCUGCAUAUCAAUAAGCGGAGGAAAAGAAAUCAUCCUAACGGGGGUUAACAUUGGUGAUUUUGGCGAAUCUACGGGCGAAACUUGCCUGCAACUAUUACAAGCUUUAGACCAAGUUGAGGGCAUCGAACGAUUUAGAAUUUCAUCAAUAGAACCCAACCUUUUAACGGACGAAAUCAUUGAUUUUGUCGCAUCAAGCAAACGAUUUGCUCCUCACUUUCACAUUCCGUUGCAAGCCGGUAGUGAUGCAGUGCUAACGCUUAUGCACCGUCGUUACAACACAGACCUAUUCGCACACAAAAUUCAGUUGAUAAAGCAAAAAAUGCCUCAUGCUUUUAUCGGUGUGGACGUUAUCGUGGGCAUGCGUGGCGAAACCGACGAAUUAUUUGAACAAUCGUACCAAUUUAUUGCAUCGCUACCCAUUAGCGAGUUACACGUAUUUAGUUACUCGGAACGCACAGGAACAGCAGCUUUGCGCAUACCUUACAAGGUUUCGCCUGCCAUCAAAAAAGAGCGCAGCCAUCGGUUGUUAGCCUUAUCGGACGCUAAAAAACAAGCCUUUUACCAAAGCCAACUAGGCACAUGGCGCCGUGUUUUAUGGGAAUCGACCAAAAAGAAUGGCUACAUGAGCGGAUUUACCGAAAAUUACAUCAAGGUAAAACAACCCUACCAAGCAAAUUUAGUCAAUACAUUAACCGAUCAUACCCUAACCCAAGAUAUGUUGGAUUAUGAAAUUUGAGUUACUACAUACCGACCCUAAAAGCAACGCCCGCGCUGGCAUUGUAACCACCGAUCACGGCAUCAUCCAGACUCCUAUUUUUAUGCCAGUAGGCACUGUGGGUUCUGUAAAAGGUGUUCAUCAACGUGAGUUAAAAGAGGACGUCAAAGCACAAAUUAUUUUGGGCAACACCUACCAUUUGUACCUUCGCCCUGGCACCGACAUUUUACGCCAAGCAGGAGGCCUGCAUCGUUUCAACGGCUGGGACAAACCCAUCCUUACCGAUAGCGGUGGUUUUCAGGUAUUUUCAUUAUCGGGUACUCGUAAAUUAAAAGAAGAGGGUGUAACAUUCCGUUCGCACAUUGAUGGUUCAAAACACCUCUUUACGCCCGAGAAUGUAGUGGACAUUCAACGACUUAUCGGGGCUGAUAUUACCAUGGCUUUAGACGAAUGUACUCCAGGCGAUGCUCCCUACGAUUACGCAAAAAAAUCCAUGGAGAUGACCCAUCGUUGGCUAAAACGUGGUCUCAAACGUUUUGACGAAACUGAGCCUCUAUACGGCUACGGUCAAACCUUUUUCCCCAUCGUCCAAGGGUGCGUUUAUCCCGAACUACGCAAACAAUCUGCCGAAUAUAUCGCCGAACAAAAUCGCGAAGGUAACGCCAUUGGCGGAUUGGCGGUGGGCGAGCCUACCGAAAAAAUGUACGAAAUGAUUGAGGUUGUCAACGAGAUUUUACCCAAGGACAAACCUCGUUACCUUAUGGGCGUAGGCACUCCUGCUAGUAUUUUAGAGGCCAUCGAACGUGGUGUUGACAUGUUUGACUGCGUUAUGCCUACCCGAAAUGGACGCAACGGCAUGCUCUUUACCUUGCAAGGUACCAUCAACAUGCACAACAAAAAAUGGGCAAACGAUUUUUCGCCUAUCGACCCAGAUGGCACAGCAUACGUUGACACGGCUUACAGCAAGGCAUACCUACGCUUAGGAUGUUGACUGAUAUGUAGUCGUA
rnacentral:rRNA from 1 species